CCUACGGGAGGCAGCAGUGGGGAAUAUUGCGCAAUGGGCGAAAGCCUGACGCAGCGACGCCGCGUGAGGGAUGAAGGCCUUCGGGUCGUAAACCUCUUUCAGCAGGGAAGAAGCGAAAGUGACGGUACCUGCAGAAGAAGCACCGGCUAACUACGUGCCAGCAGCCGCGGUAAUACGUAGGGUGCAAGCGUUGUCCGGAAUUAUUGGGCGUAAAGAGCUCGUAGGCGGUCUGUCGCGUCUGCUGUGAAAACUCAGGGCUUAACCCUGAGCUUGCAGUGGGUACGGGCAGACUAGAGUGCGGUAGGGGAGACUGGAAUUCCUGGUGUAGCGGUGAAAUGCGCAGAUAUCAGGAGGAACACCGGUGGCGAAGGCGGGUCUCUGGGCCGUAACUGACGCUGAGGAGCGAAAGCAUGGGGAGCGAACAGGAUUAGAUACCCUGGUAGUCCAUGCGUAACGUUAGGUCGCGUAGUGUGGGCGUCAUCCACGAGUUCGUCGCCGCAGCUACGCAUAGCGCCCGCCGUCGGGAGGACGGCCGGCGACGGAACGUAAACGUUAAAGUUAGUUAGUUAGUUACGGCGUGAGACGUUGCCGACGGACGACGACGAGGGAGGAGG
rnacentral:rRNA from 1 species